UACGGAGGGUGCAAGCGUUAUCCGGAUUCACUGGGUUUAAAGGGUGCGUAGGUGGGCAGUUAAGUCAGUGGUGAAAUCUCCGGGCUUAACCCGGAAACUGCCAUUGAUACUAUCUGUCUUGAAUGUCGUGGAGGUAAGCGGAAUAUGUCAUGUAGCGGUGAAAUGCUUAGAUAUGACAUAGGAACACCAAUUGCGAAGGCAGCUUACUACACGGAUAUUGACACUGAGGCACGAAAGCGUGGGGAUCAAACAGG
rnacentral:rRNA from 1 species